GACGAACGCUGUCGGCGUGCUUAACACAUGCAAGUCGAACGGAAAGGCCCUGCUUUUGUGGGGUGCUCGAGUGGCGAACGGGUGAGUAACACGUGAGUAACCUGCCCUUGACUUUGGGAUAACUUCAGGAAACUGGGGCUAAUACCGGAUAGGAGCUCCUGCUGCAUGGUGGGGGUUGGAAAGUUUCGGCGGUUGGGGAUGGACUCGCGGCUUAUCAGCUUGUUGGUGGGGUAGUGGCUUACCAAGGCUUUGACGGGUAGCCGGCCUGAGAGGGUGACCGGCCACAUUGGGACUGAGAUACGGCCCAGACUCCUACGGGAGGCAGCAGUGGGGAAUAUUGCACAAUGGGCGGAAGCCUGAUGCAGCAACGCCGCGUGCGGGAUGACGGCCUUCGGGUUGUAAACCGCUUUCGCCUGUGACGAAGCGUGAGUGACGGUAAUGGGUAAAGAAGCACCGGCUAACUACGUGCCAGCAGCCGCGGUGAUACGUAGGGUGCGAGCGUUGUCCGGAUUUAUUGGGCGUAAAGGGCUCGUAGGUGGUUGAUCGCGUCGGAAGUGUAAUCUUGGGGCUUAACCCUGAGCGUGCUUUCGAUACGGGUUGACUUGAGGAAGGUAGGGGAGAAUGGAAUUCCUGGUGGAGCGGUGGAAUGCGCAGAUAUCAGGAGGAACACCAGUGGCGAAGGCGGUUCUCUGGGCCUUUCCUGACGCUGAGGAGCGAAAGCGUGGGGAGCGAACAGGCUUAGAUACCCUGGUAGUCCACGCUGUAAACGGUGGGUACUAGGUGUGGGGUCCAUUCCACGGGUUCCGUGCCGUAGCUAACGCUUUAAGUACCCCGCCUGGGGAGUACGGCCGCAAGGCUAAAACUCAAAGGAAUUGACGGGGCCCCGCACAAGCGGCGGAGCAUGCGGAUUAAUUCGAUGCAACGCGUAGAACCUUACCUGGGUUUGACAUGGAUCGGGAGUGCUCAGAGAUGGGUGUGCCUCUUUUGGGGUCGGUUCACAGGUGGUGCAUGGCUGUCGUCAGCUCGUGUCGUGAGAUGUUGGGUUAAGUCCCGCAACGAGCGCAACCCUUGUUCACUGUUGCCAGCACGUUAUGGUGGGGACUCAGUGGAGACCGCCGGGGUCAACUCGGAGGAAGGUGGGGAUGACGUCAAGUCAUCAUGCCCCUUAUGUCCAGGGCUUCACGCAUGCUACAAUGGCUGGUACAGAGAGUGGCGAGCCUGUGAGGGUGAGCGAAUCUCGGGAAGCCGGUCUCAGUUCGGAUUGGGGUCUGCAACUCGACCUCAUGAAGUCGGAGUCGCUAGUAAUCGCAGAUCAGCAACGCUGCGGUGAAUACGUUCCCGGGGCU
rnacentral:rRNA from 1 species